rnacentral:rRNA from 1 species
GGAUUAGGCAUGCAAGUCGAACGCUCAUCUUCGGAUGGGAGUGGCGGAAGGGUGAGGAACACGUGAAUAAUCUGCCCCCAAGUUUGGAAUAACUUUCCGAAAGGAAAGCUAAUACCGAAUGUGGUUGAUUUACCGCAUGGUGAAUCAACUAAAGAUUUAUUGCUUGGGGAUGAGUUCGCGUCCCAUUAGCUAGUUGGUGAGGUAACGGCUCACCAAGGCCGAGAUGGGUAGCUGGUCUGAGAGGAUGAUCAGCCACACUGGGACUGAGACACUGCCCAGACUCCUACGGGAGGCUGCAGUCGAGAAUCUUCCGCAAUGGGCGCAAGCCUGACGGAGCAAUGCCGCAUGAGGGAUGACGGCCUUCGGGUUGUAAACCUCUGUCAUCCGGGACGAAACCAAUGACGGUACCGGAAAAGGAAGCUACGGCUAACCACGUGCCAGCAGCCGCGGUAACACGUGGGUGGCGAGCGUUAUUCGGAUUUACUGGGCGUAAAGGGUCCGCAGGGGGCCUGCCACGCCCGCCGUGAAAUUUCAGGGCUCAACCCUGAACCUGCGGCGGGUACGGGCGGGCUGGAGUGCAGGAAGGGCAGACGGAAUUCCAGGUGUAGCGGUGGAAUGCGUAGAUAUCUGGAGGAACACCGAUGGCGAAGGCGGUCUGCUGGCACAUGACUGACCCUCAGGGACGAAAGCGUGGGUAGCAAACAGGAUUAGAUACCCUGGUAGUCCACGCCGUAAACUUUGUGAACUAGAUGUGCCCGGGCUGGCCCCGGGCGUGUCCAAGCUAACGCGAUAAGUUCACCGCCUGGGGACUACGGCCGCAAGGCUAAAACUCAAAGGAAUUGACGG